rnacentral:tRNA from 1 species
GGGGUUGUGGCUCAAGUGGUGGAGUACACACCUGGCACGUGUGAGGCACUGGGUUCGAUUCUCAGCACCG